rnacentral:rRNA from 1 species
UACGUAGGGUGCAAGCGUUGUCCGGAAUUAUUGGGCGUAAAGAGCUCGUAGGCGGUUUGUCGCGUCGGCUGUGAAAACCUGGGGCUCAACCCCGGGCCUGCAGCCGAUACGGGCAAACUAGAAUUCGGUAGGGGAGACUGGAAUUCCUGGUGUAGCGGUGAAAUGCGCAGAUAUCAGGAGGAACACCAAUGGCGAAGGCAGCUCGCUGGGACGGUACUGACGCUGAGACGCGAAAGCGUGGGGAGCAAACAGG